rnacentral:rRNA from 1 species
GUGUAAGCGAGUAAGGGCAUGCGGUGGAUGCCUUGGCGCCAGGGGCCGAUGAAGGGCGCGGCACACUGCGAAAAGCCUCGGGGAGCCGUGUGCGGGCGCGAUGACCCGGGGGUGCCCGAAUGGGGAAACCCGCCUGGGGUGAACCCCAGGCAUCCGUGGCUGAAUCCAUAGGCCACGGAGGGGCACGGGGGGAACUGAAACAUCUUAGUACCCCCAGGAAAAGAAAUCAACCGAGAUUCCCCUAGUAGUGGCGAGCGAACGGGGAAGAGCCCAAACCCACAGGGUGUUAAAGCCCGAGGGCGUUGCCCUGUGGGGGUUGUGGGAUCCAUCCGGGGGCGGCCUCGGACGCCUCAGGGAGUUACCAAGCCUUGGCCUAGCCGAAGUGGUCUGGAAAGGCCCGCCAUAGAGGGUGAUAGCCCCGUAGGCGAAAGGUCGAAGGCCUCCCGGGGAUGGGAUCCCGAGUACCACGGCCCACGUGGAAGGUCGUGGGAAGCAGGGGGGACCACCCUCCAAGGCUAAAUACCCCUGGCGACCGAUAGCGCACCAGUACCGUGAGGGAAAGGUGAAAAGAACCCCGGUGAGGGGAGUGAAAUAGAACCUGAAACCGCAUGCCUACAAGCGGUCCGAGGGCUAUGGCCCCUUUGGGGGCAAUGCCUGAGGGCGUGCCUUUUGGAGAAUGAGCCGGCGAGUUACUCUCGGUGGCGAAGGCUAAGGGGGUCACACCCGGAGCCGGAGCGAAAGCGAGUCCGAACAGGGCGUCUCGUCGCCGGGAGUAGACGCGAAACCGGGUGAGCUACCCAUGGCCAGGGUGAAGCGGGGCUAAUCCCCCGUGGAGGCCCGAACCCAUCACCAGUGCAAAGGUGUGGGAUGAGCUGUGGGUAGGGGUGAUAUGCCAAUCGAACCCGGAGAUAGCUCGUUCUCCCCGAAAUAGCUUUAGGGCUAGCCUCACGCGGUCCGUGGCGGAGGUAGAGCACUGGUAGGGCUAGGGGCGUUAUGCUACCGAACCCUGUCAAACUCCGAAUGCCGCCACGUGCAGCGUGGGAGUCGGACCGUGGGGGAUAACCUCCAUGGUCGAGAGGGGAACAACCCAGACCGCCUGCUAAGGCCCCCAAGUCCGGGCUCAGUGGGAAAGGAUGUGGGGCUGCUAUGACAGCCAGGAGGUUGGCUUAGAAGCAGCCAUCCUUUAAAGAGUGCGUAACAGCUCACUGGUCGAGCGGCCCUGCGCCGAAAAUGUAACGGGGCUUAAGCCCGGCGCCGAAGCAGCGGGUUCUCGUGCCGAUGAGGCACGGGAGCGGUAGGGGAGCGUUCCGCACGCGUGGAAGCGCGACCGUGAGGACGCGUGGAGCGUGCGGAAGUGAGAAUGCCGGCACGAGUAGCGGAAGACGCGUGAGAACCGCGUCCGCCGAAGGCCUAAGGUUUCCGACGCAAGGUCGAUCCGCGUCGGGUUAGGCGGGACCUAAGGCGAGGCCGAAAGGCGUAGCCGAUGGACAGCCGGUUAAUAUUCCGGCCCCACCCGGGUGGAGCGAAGGGGGGACGCAGGAGGGUAGGCCAGCCGGCCGCUGGCUGUGCCGGUGCCAAGUCCUUAGGGCGAUGAAGGCGGUAGGCAAAUCCGCCGCCGGAGCCUGAGGGAUGAUGGCGAGCCGGGGAAACCCGGCGGAAGUGGUCGAGCCCACACUGCCGAGAAAAGCCUCUAAGCGUUGAAGCCCGGGUGCCCGUACCGCAAACCGACACCGGUAGGCUGGCGUAAGCGCGCCAAGGCGGACGGGAGAACCCUCCUCAGGGAACUCGGCAAACUGACCCCGUAACUUCGGGAGAAGGGGUGCCUCGCGUAGGGUGAGGCCUUCGGGCCGAGCCCGAGGAGGCCGCAGUGAACAGGCCCUGGCGACUGGUUACCUAAACCACAGGUCUCUGCUAACCCGUAAGGGGAAGUAUAGGGGCCGACGCCUGCCCAGUGCCGGAAGGUUAAGGGGAGGGGUGACCCGGCUUCGGCCGGUGUAGCCCUGAACUGAAGCCCCGGUGAACGGCGGCCGUAACUAUAGACCGGACCGCUGUAGUUACGUAAAUAAACCCGGCUAUAUGCUGGGAAGUCCGUCCCCUAACAGGGGUGAAGGAUCCGGCGGUACCUAACGGCUGCAUGCCGUUGGGUAACAAUCCGUCCGGUGCGGACCAUCAGCAGGAAAGGCUCCCUGGGUUGCCUUUCCGGAGGAAGGAGUGAUGCCUCUGGACGUGAGACAUAUCCCUCCUCACAUCGGUUACUACUUGACGGGGUUUGCUGAUGGUGAGGGAAGCUUCAACGUUACAUUUCGGCGCCGCCGAGACUACCGGAUGCCAUGGAGGGUGUCCCUCUGCUUCAAUGUGAGUAAUCGAGAUAGAGUCAUCCUUGCCCUCUUCAAGCGCUAUCUCCAAUGUGGCACGUUACGGCAACGGGGAGACGGGGUCUGGUACUAUGAGGUCAACGACUUCAAUGCGAUCCUGGGCCACGUCAUCCCCUUCUUCGAGCGGUUUCCUUUCCUAUCUGCGAAGAAGCGGCGAGAUUUCUCGAAGUUCAAGGAAAUCGCCAAAAUCAUGGAAGAAGGGCGUCACAACACAGAAGAGGGCGUUCGGGAAAUCUUGCGCAUCCGGCGAGAGAUGAACGACGGUGGCGCUGGGAGGCGAAAGUAUAGCGAUGAAGAAAUCCUCCGGACUCUCACCCAGGGAGAAUCCUCAGAGACCAUACGCCGGGCACCCGAGGGGUAUGCAAGCGCCGCCCGCCCCAUCGGGUGAAGAGAUGGUCCGAUCUCCGUGGCGACACGGAGGGCCUGAGCACCUGCUCAGGCCGCACCAGACGGGGCAUCCAGACCCGUUUGCUGGUGUAACGGAAUGAACGGUCCUAAGGUAUCGCCUGAAAGGCGCUGCCUGCCUGUCGGGUAACCGACAGGGCAAUGCCCGGCUGUAUGCGGGAAAGCCCUAAGAGCCCUCCCUACGUCUCCGGCGAAAGGCCGGCGUCAAAAUGGCGAGGGAUUGGGCAAUCCGCAGGAAACCCCCGGGUUCAAUCCCGGCGGGGAUCCUCAGAGACCAUACGCCGGGCAUCCGGCCGGGAGGUCAUCUAUGGAAUUGUCUCCGGACUGGGUGGUAGGGUUCGUGGACGGCGAAGGUUGUUUCCACGUCUCCAUCACCCGCCAUCCCUCGAUGAAGAUCGGCUAUCAGGUGCUGCCGGAGUUCGUGGUCGUCCAGCACCGCCGGGACAUCCAGGUGCUCUACGCCUUGAAACGGUUCUUCCGGUGUGGUGUGGUCCGCCCCGAUCAUGAGGACCGCUACGCCUACCGGGUCCGACAGCUGGAGUGCCUGGAGCGCAUCUGUGAGUUCUUCCUGCGGCAUCCUCUGAAAACCCGUAAGAACGUCGAGAUGCGUCGGUUCCGGCGGAUCCUCCUCCUGAUGAAGAAAGGGCACCAUCAGACCCGAGAGGGGUUGCUGGAGAUCAUCCAGAUCGCCUCUCGCAUGAACUCCGCUGACCGCCCUGCGCUGGAGCGGAUCCGCCAAGAGCUCCUGGCCGGAUGAAGAGAUGGUCCGCCCCGUGGUGAAAGCCGCGGAUUCAGGUGAGCGAAAUUCCUUGUCGGGUAAGCCGAUCGCUUGCCCCUUCUCCCCGCGAGGGGAGAUGAAACGCCGGCUCAUAUCGGGGGAGCCCUCCUGCCGUGGUGCGGGACGGCGUGGGGUGAUCCCGAGGGAAGUCGGCCCGGCCCUCGCCGGGCUUGACCCCGUAACGACUGACCCGAAAGGGGAGGCGCGGUUCCCCACCCCGCGCAACACGCCGGCCCUCACCCCUCGCCUAGAUGCGGCGAGCCGAGGGCGCCUAUGGAGCCUCCUUCCGGAUGAGGUGGGGCGAGAUGAUGCAACUGGAUCCCUGGUAUGUGACCGGGCUGGUGGACGGCGAGGGAAGUUUCAUGGUGAGUUUCAAUCUGCGUCCCUCGCUGUCUACAGGGAUCGAGGUGCGUCCCGCUUUCGCUGUCGCCCUGAAUGAGCGCUCGCUGGAGGUGCUGAAAGCCCUGCGCCGUUUCUUCGGUUGCGGAGCCAUCCGCUACUCGCGCGGGGACCGCACCUACAAGUGGGAAGUGCGAUCGAUCUCGGACAUCGUGCAGCGCGUGCUUCCCCACUUCGAGCGCUAUCCUCUGCAAACAGCGAAGCGGGCAGAUUUCGAACGUUUCGCCCAAAUUUGCCGCUGGGUUCACGCGAAUCGCCAUCGCAAUCGGGAGUAUCUGAGGCGCAUCAUCGAUCUGGCGUAUGAGAUGAAUCCGAGCGGCAAGCGUCGUUAUCGGAAGGAGGAUCUCCUAAGGGUGCUCGGGUGAGGUGAAGGGAUAGUCUGCCUCCAGUGGAAACACUGGGAGAAGGCGAAGUUCCGACCCGCACGAAAGGCGUAACGACCGGGGCGCUGUCCCGAGGAGGGUCCCGGCGAAACUGCGAACUGCGUGAAGACGCGCAGUGCCCGCAGCGGGACAAAAAGACCCCGUGGAGCUUUACUGGAGCCUGGUAUUGGGUUAGGGUUUGGCCUGUGUAGGAUAGGUGGGAGGCUGAGAAGCCCGGGCGCCAGCUCGGGUGGAGCCGCCGGUGAAAUACCACCCUGGUCAAAUCUUGGCCCUAACGCCGACCCGUGAACCCGGGCGGCGGACAGUGCCUGGUUGCCAGUUUUGCUGGGGCGGCAGCCUCCUAAAAGGUAACGGAGGCGCCCAAAGGUCCCCUCAGGCGGAAUGGAAACCCGCCGUUGAGUGCAAGGGCAUAAGGGGGCUUGACUGCGAGGCUGACAAGCCGAGCAGGGGCGAAAGCCGGGCCUAGUGACCCCACGGUUCCGUGUGGAAGGGCCGUGGAUCAACGGAUAAAAGCUACCCCGGGGAUAACAGGCUGGUGAGGCCCAAGAGUUCACAUCGACGGCCUCGCUCGGCACCUCGAUGUCGGCUCAAAAUUGGGCCCCUGAGGGGGUAACCCCUCAGGUCACAUCCGGCUUAUAACGGGGGAGCCCUAACGACCGGAGCCUUUCCGGGAUCGAGGGUAAUCCCGUGGGAAGUCGAGGAGCUGAACAUGCUGCCGGAGCCGCUGCAUUCCGUGAUCGUGGGGAGCUUGCUGGGAGACGCCUGCUUAGAACGCAACGGCCGCCACUGGCGGCUCCGCUUCGAUCACGGAUGGAGAGAAGAAGCCUACGCCUGGUGGAAGUUUCGGCUAUUGCACACCAUCGCCGCUUCAACGCCGCGCUGGAUAGAGGUGCGGGAUCGGCGAACAGGCCGAAUAUACCGACACGUCCGCUUCGACUCUAGAUCCAUCCCCGAGCUGGAAGCAUACGCGGGAUGGUUCUAUGAGGAUAGACGGAAACGGGUGCCGCCGAUCAUCGACAUGCUUCUCACCAGCAGCUUGGCUCUGGCAGUGUGGUAUAUGGAUGACGGACAUCGCCGUGCGGAUUGCAGGGCGUUGCGCCUGAACACACAGGGUUUCCUGUGCGAGGAGGUGGAUCUCCUGAUCCGGAUGCUUCAUCGCAACUUCGGCAUAGCGGCGCGAAGACAUUGGGUCAAGGAUAAUCAAUGGGUGAUCUACCUCCCUGUCCAAACGGCGCAGCGUUUCUGCGAUCUAAUCCGUCCCCAUAUACCCCCGGAGAUGGGAUAUAAGCUCCUCUGACCCCGUAACGACUGAGGGCGCAAGGCCCGAGAUGGUCGGCCCUGGGAUCUGAUAAAGGAUCCCAAAUCUAUGCCGGCCAUCAGACGCCGGACCCCUGGUUGGGCGAUGGCCAGGGUGAUGAGAUAGUCUGCGCCACCGGAAACGGUGGGGAACGCGCAUCGCAUCCUGGGGCUGGACAAGGUCCCAAGGGUCGGGCUGUUCGCCCGUUAAAGCGGUACGUGAGCUGGGUUCAGACCGUCGAUGCAGGCGGCCCCGAGCGGGUAACCCUCGGGGAAAAACCGGCUCAUAACGGGGAAGCCCUCCGGAUCGGACGACCGGAUGCCGAGGGUAACCCCGUGGGAAGGCGGAAGCGAUGGAGGACACCACGCGCGCUUACAUCGCAGGAUUUCUGGACGGGGAUGGGAGUAUCGUUCUCCAGCUUAAGCCUCGACGGGAUUAUCGUUUCGGUUUUCAAAUCCGCGCGACCGUUAGCUUCUAUCAGAAACGUCGAGGACGCUGGGUGCUGGAGUGGCUCUACGCACACAUCGGUCGAGGUAGAAUCCGAGAGCGGCCAGAUGGGAUUGUUCAAUACGACAUUGAAGGUGUGGAAUCUGUAAUCUGGCUGCUUGAGCAGGUUCAGCCUUACAUUGUAGCCAAGAAAGAACAAGUGGAGCAGGCUCUCGGUCUACUUCGAGAAGUGUGUGCAAAUGAAUCUCCCACCCCGGAGGAAUUCUGGGAGUGGGCGCGUCGGGUGGAAUCCUAUCAGGCCCUAAACUACUCGAAGAAGUGCCGCUAUCGAGCAGAAGAUGUGCGGCGCUUUCUCAGUAGCAAGGGCUGGCUUCCGCCCCCGUAACGACUGAGGCCAUCGGGCCGAGGCUUGGGUUUCGGAUCCCUCGGCGAAGGGAUCCCAAUUUGUAACCCAGGCAAUACGCCGGCAUCCCCGAAAGGGGAUGAUGGUAUAGUCUACCCCCCAGGGAAACCUGGGGAAGCGGUGCGUGAGACAGGUCGGUCUCUAUCCGCUGUGGGCGUUGGGGGCUUGAGGGGUGCUGCCCCUAGUACGAGAGGACCGGGGUGGACGGACCUCUGGUGUGCCGGUUGUCGCGCCAGCGGCAUCGCCGGGUAGCCAACGUCCGGACGGGAUAACCGCUGAAAGCAUCUAAGCGGGAAGCCCACCCCAAGAUGAGGCCCCCCACCGGCUUUGACCGGGUAAGGCCGCCGGGAGACGACCGGUUUGAUAGGCCGCAGGUGGAAGCCCGGUAACGGGUGAAGCUGAGCGGUACUAACGGCCGAGGGCUUACACGU